GCGGACAUGGUGGAAUGGUAGACACCGGAGACUUAAAAUCUCUUGCUCGAUCGAGCGUGCGGGUUCGAGUCCCGCUGUCCGCACCA
rnacentral:tRNA from 1 species